UACGUAGGGGGCAAGCGUUGUCCGGAUUUACUGGGCGUAAAGGGCGCGUAGGCGGCCACCGCAAGUCAGUUGUGAAAUCUCUGGGCUUAACCCAGAACGGUCAGCUGAUACUGCGGGGCUAGAGUGCAGAAGGGGCAACUGGAAUUCUCGGUGUAGCGGUGAAAUGCGUAGAUAUCGAGAGGAACACCUGCGGCGAAGGCGGGUUGCUGGGCUGACACUGGCGCUGACAGCGCGAAAGCUAGGGGAGCGAACGGG
rnacentral:rRNA from 1 species